GACGGACACGCCGCGUGAGUGAUGAAGGCUUUCGGGUCGUAAAACUCUGUUGUUAGGGAAGAAGGGUAUUGAAUAAGCUGGCACCUUGACGGUACCUAACAAAAGCCACGGCUAACUACGUGCCAGCAGCCGCGGUAAUACGUAGGUGGCAAGCGUUAUCCGGAAUUAUUGGGCGUUAAAUCCGAAGAGGUGGUUUCUUAAGUCUGAUGUGAAAGCCCACGGCUCAACCGUGGAGGGUCAUUGGAAACUGGGAGACUUGAGUGCAGAGAGGAAAGUGGAAUUCCAUGUGUAGCGGUGAAAUGCGUAGAGAUAUGGAGGAACACCAG
rnacentral:rRNA from 1 species